AACGAACGCUGGCGGCGCGCCUAAUACAUGCAAGUCGAGCGGUAAGGCCCUUUCGGGGGUACACGAGCGGCGAACGGGUGAGUAACACGUGGGUGACCUGCCCUCAGCUCUGGGAUAAGCCUGGGAAACUGGGUCUAAUACCGGAUAUGACUCCAUGACGCAUGUUGUGGGGUGGAAAGCCUUGUGCGGCUGAGGAUGGGCCCGCGGCCUAUCAGCUUGUUGGUGGGGUGANGGCCUACCAAGGCGACGACGGGUAGCCGGCCUGAGAGGGCGACCGGCCACACUGGGACUGAGACACGGCCCAGACUCCUACGGGAGGCAGCAGUGGGGAAUCUUGCGCAAUGGGCGAAAGCCUGACGCAGCGACGCCGCGUGAGGGAUGACGGCCU
rnacentral:rRNA from 1 species